rnacentral:rRNA from 1 species
AGCAGCCGCGGUAAUUCCAGCUCCAAUAGCGUAUAUUAAAGUUGUUGCAGUUAAAAAGCUCGUAGUUGAAUUUCGGGGUCAGCAGGUUGGUCGUGCCAAUGGUAUGAACUGGCCUUGCUGAUUCCUCCCUCUUGAUGAGCCGUAAUGUCAUUAAUUUGGUGUUGCGGGGAAUCAGGACUGUUACUUUGAAAAAAUUAGAGUGUUUAAAGCAGGCAAGCGCUUGAAUACAUUAGCAUGGAAUAAUGAAAUAGGACGUUUGAUCCUAUUUUGUUGGUUUCUAGGAUUGACGUAAUGAUUAAUAGGGAUAGUUGGGGGCAUUAGUAUUCAAUUGUCAGAGGUGAAAUUCUUGGAUUUAUUGAAGACUGACUACUGCGAAAGCAUUUGCCAAGGAUGUUUUCAUUAAUCAAGAACGAAAGUUAGGGGAUCGAAGACGAUCAGAUACCGUCGUAGUCUUAACCAUAAACUAUGCCGACUAGGGAUCGGAUGAUGUUAAUUUUUUAAUGACUCA